CUUUUUCUUUGGUUCCAGAGGGUAAAGAAGCCCAGCUUUCAGGCACGGUCUAGCCAUGGCUUGUAGGCUGGUCACCAGUGGACUGGGGCAGAGGCUAGAGCCAGCCAGAGACGAGUUCGCAUCCCGACUCUGCCGUCUCCCAGCUGGGCAGCCACAGAUGAGCUUCCGGCCUUUUGGCAGAUCUGGAAGAACACCCCGGCAUGUCCGCAAGGAGAGCACCUCAUAAACUUACCCACCAUCUGGACAAAAUGACACAGUUGCUGAGGCAGCAUCAGGGAACACGGUUUUGCCCAUGUUGUUCUGUGGCCGCGCAAGCGAAAGCUGAUGACCACAAUCCCAGGACACAUUGCUGAGCUUGGGGAUCCAGCAGACAGAACAGGGGCAGGUGGACAACAGUGGUGAUCAGGAAUCAAAGCAGAAGAGGACUGGCAACUGUGCAGAGGUGAAGAUGAGAUUGGCUGGAUGGCUUUGUGCAAAUCCCAUCACCUCUCUGAGCCUCGGUUUCUUCGUAUGUCAAAUGGAAUUCAAAAUCUCUGCCCUGGCAGAGAUUGAGCGUGCACUGAAAAGUUCUCAACACCAUCAGUUUAAGAUGCCUGAUUUUAAUAAACUCUGUCUGACUUGAGUUAGUGCAGCCUAACCCUAGGCACUGGGCACACAAGUGGGCUCUGAUUCUUGAGGCUGUGACCGUGUGGUUUUGCUUUUAUAUGAGACAUUCUUGGUGAUGCAGUCAGGUCCCAAGAGAACCUAGACCCUCCC